rnacentral:rRNA from 1 species
AGCGAACGCUGGCGGCAGGCUUAACACAUGCAAGUCGAGCGGGCGUAGCAAUACGUCAGCGGCAGACGGGUGAGUAACGCGUGGGAACGUACCUUUUGGUUCGGAACAACACAGGGAAACUUGUGCUAAUACCGGAUAAGCCCUUACGGGGAAAGAUUUAUCGCCGAAAGAUCGGCCCGCGUCUGAUUAGCUAGUUGGUGAGGUAACGGCUCACCAAGGCGACGAUCAGUAGCUGGUCUGAGAGGAUGAUCAGCCACAUUGGGACUGAGACACGGCCCAAACUCCUACGGGAGGCAGCAGUGGGGAAUAUUGGACAAUGGGGGCAACCCUGAUCCAGCCAUGCCGCGUGAGUGAUGAAGGCCCUAGGGUUGUAAAGCUCUUUUGUGCGGGAAGAUAAUGACGGUACCGCAAGAAUAAGCCCCGGCUAACUUCGUGCCAGCAGCCGCGGUAAGGUAGAUGAGU